rnacentral:sRNA from 1 species
CACUAGUCGAGAGUUGUUGCCACUCUCCGAUGAGUCCAAGGCAGAAUGAAACUAGUG